GCUGGUCGUGUGUGGCUUGGGGCCCGGUUGUGCAGUUACCCAGCGCACACUUACACAUCAAAUUGGGUAAGGUACUUGCUUCUACAACUGGACCAAAGAUGGACUGCUAACUACCAUUUUUACUGCCAAACUGCAUGCCAAACUUCAUUCAUAUGGAAAUAUCCAGAAAAAGGAAUUAGCACAGAGUUCUCUGAGCACUGGUAUUAAUGACAUUUCCUACAGAUUUGUACCUUGUGAAUAAACUCUGGUGUGUAGGAAGGAAUAAAGUCAUGGGGAAGAUA